UCCGGGCGCNUGGCGACGCAUCAAUUCUGCGCCGGGAGAUCCCCUUUAUGCACGGGGACAACCAGCAGCUCCAGGCACCUCUGGAGUCUACAGAUCAAACGAUCGCGGCCACUCUGGNGGUUAAGAUAUGAUCGGCCUUGACCGUUAUCGGUCCAAAGNUUCGCGGAACCUGCGGAAGGAUCAUUA
rnacentral:rRNA from 1 species